rnacentral:lncRNA from 1 species
AGGAAAUGACCAAUUAUUAGGCUCAGAAUUAGUGUAUCAUCAUAGCCUAUAUCUCAACACUCUCUACUUAGCAUGACUUUUUGUGUUUUUAUUUAGGAUUUAACUUAACUCUUGUUUGGAUGGUUGUCACCAAUUAUAUUGCAUUGUUAUUUUAAUUAUGACACAACAACAACAACAACUAUCCAGUAUAGUCCCAUAAAGUGGGGUGUUAUUUUAAUUAUGAUGUUUAUUUUAAUUUUUACUUAAAUUUAUUGUAUCGUAUUGUUAAAUUUAUCGUUACGUAAUGAUGAAAUGUAUCACUUUAUGUAACGAUUAAUUUGGUGUGUUUGUUUUGUUACCUUGUCUUUCUCUCUCAUCUCACAAUUUAUUAUUAGUAUUAAAUAAGUUAAUUUUAUCUUUUACCCUACAUUUUUUAAUAACUUUAUCCCGUAUCAUAAUUUUUUUAUUUAACAUUGCAAGUUUAUUCUUCAUAUUGAUGGUGCGUGAUAUUAUGAGACAACGGCAAACGAUAUAGUAUAUGCAAAUACUGUACUUAUCAAAUGAUACAGUAUAUUAUAGUAUAGUAUAAUACGACAUAUUAUAAAACAAUACAUAACAAUUAUCCAAACAAGUUGCUAACAACUUCAUCCGGGAUCAUUAAUUAGGGAAUUAAAUUAAUGUGCUGACAACAAUGUUAACCGAAAAUCAUACUACGUGACAUGGCUUAAGACUUCCGGUAACGAAAUGAGAGGUCUUUGUAAUUUUUUUCUAAAAGAAAAUUACCGGGGUUACCAAGCAUUUGAGACAAUUUUUUUUUUUUUUUUUUUUUUUUGUGGUUAUUGCUCGUUACCAUUUUACCAUUUAGCCAGUUUUAUUGACUUCUUUUUCAUAUAGUCACUGAUGUUUGCC